CAUGAAUCUGCGUUUUAAGUAACAACGCGACGCUAGUGUCAUCGCGAAGCUUUUCGGAGAAGAAUGCAGUGACAGAAACAUGGACGGAAUUCUUGGAAAGUACCUUCUCAUGGCGUGUGCUACUGCAGUUGUGGCCCUGACUAUCGCUUCCCUCGCAGCUGGAGCGAUUCCUGGUUCUAUAUUUGAUACUGUUCUCAAAGGAGGAAGGACCGAAGAAAACAAAUAGUGAGAAAUAAGACUUGCGGCUGUCUGCGUCGACACUUCGCUUAGGCUGAAUAAAACGAAAGAAGCGGCAUGACCGCGAGAAACAAAUAAAUCGAAAGAAAUCGAAACCUC